rnacentral:rRNA from 1 species
CCAGACUCCUACGGGAGGCAGCAGUGGGGGAUAUUGGACAAUGGGGGGAACCCUGAUCCAGCGACGCCGCGUGAGUGAAGAAGUAUCUCGGUAUGUAAAGCUCUAUCAGCAGGGAAGAAAGAAAUGACGGUACCUGAGUAAGAAGCCCCGGCUAACUACGUGCCAGCAGCCGCGGUAAUACGUAGGGGGCAAGCGUUAUCCGGAUUUACUGGGUGUAAAGGGAGCGUAGACGGCAGCGCAAGUCUGGAGUGAAAUGCCGGGGCCCAACCCCGGAACUGCUCUGGAAACUGUGAAGCUGGAGUGCAGGAGAGGUAAGCGGAAUUCCUGGUGUAGCGGUGAAAUGCGUAGAUAUCAGGAGGAACACCGGCGGCGAAGGCGGCUUACUGGACUGUAACUGACGUUGAGGCUCGAAGGCGUGGGGAGCAAACAGGAUUAGAUACCCUAGUAC